rnacentral:rRNA from 1 species
GGACGAACGCUGGCGGCGUGCUUAACACAUGCACGUCGAACGGAAAGGCCCUGCUUUUGUGGGGUGCUCGAGUGGCGAACGGGUGAGUAACACGUGAGUAACCUGCCCUUGACUUUGGGAUAACUUCAGGAAACUGGGGCUAAUACCGGAUAGGAGCUCCUGCUGCAUGGUGGGGGUUGGAAAGUUUCGGCGGUUGGGGAUGGACUCGCGGCUUAUCAGCUUGUUGGUGGGGUAGUGGCUUACCAAGGCUUUGACGGGUAGCCGGCCUGAGAGGGUGACCGGCCACAUUGGGACUGCGGUACGGCCCAGACUGCUACGGGAGGCAGCGGUGGGGAAUAUUGCACAAUGGGCGGGAGCCUGAUGCAGCAACGCCGCGUGCGGGAUGACGGCCUUCGGGUUGUAAACCGCUUUCGCCUGUGACGAAGCGGGAGUGACGGUAAUGGGUAAAGAAGCACCGGCUAACUACGUG